AAUAGAUACCCGGGUAGUCCACGCCGUAAACGGUGGGCGCUAGGUGUGGGGAACAUUCCACGUUCUCCGUGCCGCAGCUAACGCAUUAAGCGCCCCGCCUGGGGAGUACGGCCGCAAGGCUAAAACUCAAAGGAAUUGACGGGGGGCCCGCACAAGCGGCGGAGCAUGCGGCUUAAUUCGAUGCAACGCGAAGAACCUUACCUAGGCUUGACAGUUGGGGAAAUCUGGCAGAGAUGUCAGGUCCGCAAGGGCCCCAAAACAGGUGGUGCAUGGCUGUCGUCAGCUCGUGUCGUGAGAUGUUGGGUUAAGUCCCGCAACGAGCGCAACCCUCGUCGUAUGUUGCCAGCGGAUAAUGCCGGGGACUCGAUACGAGACUGCCGGGGUCAACGUCGGAGGAAGGUGGGGAUGACGUCAAGUCAUCAUGCCCCUUAUGUCUAGGGCUGCACGCAUGCUACAAUGGCCGGUACAAAGGGCUGCGAUACCGCAAGGUGGAGCGAAUCCCAAAAAGCCGGUCUCAGUUCGGAUUGGGGUCUGCAACCG
rnacentral:rRNA from 1 species